GUAAGUUUAGAAACAUUUUGAGUCCCCCCUGCCUUGCCUCACAGUGGUUUGGUCCACCGCGCGUGUGUGCAGAGGUCCGGCGGCGCCGGCGGGAGAGAGCAGCUCUUCAGACAGUGGUUGAGAGGAGAUCCAGCCGAGUUGCAGAACGCUGCCAGGCAUGUUGUGUCCCUUUACGCAGUGCUCUAACAAGUGAGUCAUGCUCACCGUCACGGAUGGAUGAAGGGCAGGUUCAGAGAGAGCAGGUCACAGCGGGCAGGAGGCAACACAGCUGCAGGGUCAGGAAACCCCUGGGAACAGGGUGCAGUCUGCAGGGAGACCGCAUCAGGAAAUUCAGUGGACCAGAGUAUGGCCAGCAUUCCCUGGUCUUUUCAAGGCACGAAAAGGCUUUAUCCCAGCUCCUAAAAAAAGGCCUGCCAGGUCAACGCCAAUCCAGUUUUUCCUGCUAAAUAAAAGUGUUGAAUGGACCCAAAAGCCUCUGAGUUGAUUCUUCUACAGGCUGGACUAGGACGGAGGACUGUUGCUGAUCACUCUGAGGUGGUCAGUGAAAGCUGAAUGUUGUUGCUCCGGAAGCUGAAGGAUACACAGGUUCCUGCCUCAUUGAAACGGUUGGAGGAAAGGGCUGUUUAUACAUAAUGCCCAUUCAGAACACACCGGACAUCUCCCCUUUACCUUACUCAUCCAAAGAGUUUGAAAAAAUGCCAAAAGCUCGAUGUGUCAAAUGUCACACAGACAUGGCUGUUCAACUGUUGGCUGAGCACGUCCAGAAGUGUGAGACAGACAUAUGGAUCAACAGCAGCGAUAGUGAAUCAGUAAAGUCUAUUUAAUUAUUUUUUUUGUUUUUAAUAGUUUCAUUGUGUUCAUAAUAAGUAAAAUUUACAAUUGUC